AUUGCAUCCUAUCCAUCCUCAGCAGCCUGUAUGGGACAAUGAUCUUCACAGUCUUCUCCAAAUGGGAUUUGAUGCUAAUCUUGGACAGAAUGGAGGAGGAGCAAAGAUGGAUGUUUAGAGAU